AACCAUAGAAACCUGCGGAGUACCUGCGGAGGGAUCAUUAACGCGCUACGGAGGUCUCUUCGAAGGAAGGGACCUACGUCCGCCCACCCUUGAUUACUUGACCUGUUGCUUUGGCGGGCUCCCCGCGAGGCGGACCCGCCAGAGUUCCCCCUAAAUUCUGGAUAAAAAAGGUUGUGCUGUCUGAGCGUGCAAGCGCAAAUCUAUAAUAAAACUUUCAACAAUGGAUCUCAGAUCGGAAGA
rnacentral:misc_RNA from 1 species